AGUGAACGCUGGCGGUAGGCCUAACACAUGCAAGUCGAACGGAAGCACAGUAAGAGCUUGCUCUUACGGGUGGCGACUGGCGGACGGGUGAGAAAUACAUCGGAAUCUAAUUUUUCGUGGGGGAUAACGUAGGGCAACUUCCGCUAAUACCGCAUACAACCUACCGGUGAAAGCAGUGGAUAUUCGGACCUUGGGCGAUUGAAUGAGCCGAGGUCGGAUUAGGUAGUUUGCUGGGUAAAGGCCCACCAAGGCGACGAUCCGUAGCCGGGCUGAGAGGAUGGACCGCCACCACGGAAACUAGGACAGGUCCCAGCUCCCUAGGGAGGCCACAGUUGGGAAUUUUUGGCAAAGGGGGAAAGCCUGAACCCGGCAAGCCGGGUUGGGUGAGAAGGUCUUUGGGUUGUUAAACCCUUUUAUUUGGGAAGAAAAAAUGUGUGUUUAACUCCCCACGUUUUGACGGUACCCAAAGAAUAAGCACCGGCUAACUUCGUG
rnacentral:rRNA from 1 species